AUUGAGGUCUAUCCCGAUGGAUCUUUUUCUGUAGACUUACAUAGUUGGAAACGCCUCAUAGAAUAAAUAUGUUGUUUCCUUUAUUCACAGAACUGUGUGUUAGAUCCGUGGGAAGGAAUUACAAGAGAGCU
rnacentral:snoRNA from 1 species